GAUCCUGGCUCAGGACGAACGCUGGCGGCGUGCUUAACACAUGCAAGUCGAACGGGGCAUAGAGAUAUGCCUAGUGGCGGACGGGUGAGUAACACGUGAGCAACCUAUCCUAUACAACGGGAUAACACAGAGAAAUUUGUGCUAAUACGGUAUAAGACCACACUCCGGCAUCGGAGAGGGGUAAAAGCUGAGGCGGUAUAGGAGGGGCGUCGCGGCCCAUUAGCUAGUUGGAGAGGUAACGGCU
rnacentral:rRNA from 1 species